rnacentral:rRNA from 1 species
UACGGAGGAUGCAAGCGUUGUCCGGAUUCAUUGGGCUUAAAGCGUGCGUAGGCGGCUUAGUAAGUCUGCGGUGAAAGCCCGUCGCUUAACGGCGGAACUGCCAUUGAUACUGCUAGGCUUGAGUAUGGUUGAGGUGGGCGGAAUGUGUCAUGUAGCGGUGAAAUGCUUAGAUAUGACCCAGAACACCAAUGGCGAAGGCAGCUCGCUAAGCCAUAACUGACGCUGAGGCACGAAAGCGUGGGGAGCAAACAGG